UUCCCGUGACUCUUAACUGAUCAGCCAUUCACAGCCAACCACAUGAAACUAAAACCUCAUGUUUCUAACAUGGUAACCAACAUCACAAGAUCAUACAAGUAACUCUGUUCUGUCACUGGCAUCAUCAUCAAUACUCUUACAAAAUGGCUUCAAAAACCUUUCCAUUUGCAGUUCUAGCACAUGGGUGUUUUUCGUCACGCCCACCCACCUUAACUUCUAAUAAUAAGUCCUUUACUCCACAACCCAUCAAGCAUUUACGCUAUCUCUGUGUCAAUCACAGGUUGUCUGCAAAAGAUAAUGGACAUAUGUUGGUUUCCCACUUCUUCAAAUCCUCAACUUGGAGGAGAAUGCAGAGUUAUGAAGAUGCUAGAUCUCAAGAUAUUCUGGAUGAACAAGAUAGAUUAACUGAUGAGGUGAUUGGAAAUGAGAAUAAUGGACGUGGUUCAUUCCUGGCUAAAGUGGCAAUUGUGCUGGGCAUAGCUGCAACAGCCACGAUAAUAUCUAUUUGCCUCAAGUGGCCUGUUCUUGGAUCAUCGCUUGGAAUUCAAUUUCUGGCUGAAGGUUCAUCCUCUUCAGUAAUGGCUGCUCCCCCUGUUGGUUUCACUUUCAAAGCUUUUGGAUACAAUGUUGUACUUCCAGAAUAUGCACCAGGAUGGAUCUACUUUUGGUUACUUAUGGCUGCUGGGUGUGGACUUUUCAUUAGUGAAGAGGCUCUAAAUAUUUGGGUUGGCAUAACUUUAGCACGGUUGCUGACUUUGGAUGGGACAUGGCACUCUUUUACUGAAUCUUUCUCGAGAAAUGCUCCGUACAUAAUAUCCAGCAUUCUAAUCGACUCGGGAUGUGAAGCCUACCAGUAUUGUCUACAAGAAUGCUGCUCUUCAUCUUUCAGGGGAGUUUGCAUCAGUGAUCUGAUACCAUUUUAUCUGGGGAAGCUUUUCAGGCAAUCAGGGGCAUCUGAUGAUGUUUGUUCGAGGUUAGGGAUUGGCAAAGAGAAGGCCUUAAACAUUACUCACACGGUGCAAAAAUAUCGCAAUUUCUCUGGCUUUGUAGAACGAUUUUCCCUAGGAGUGAGAAAUCCAACAGCUUUCCUAGCAGGGGCCAUGGGUAUUUCUCCAGAGUGCUUCUUUGCUGGAGUCUGUUGUGGUGGCUUGAUCACUCUUCCCCUUCAGUUAGGGAUUGGAUUCUUGUUGAGGGAGCAUCCUGUGGCUGCCCUUGCUACAGUUGCAACAGCAGUGGGAAUUUGGACUGUUUUCCCAUAUGCUGUGGCUGCUUCAACGGCAUUAUUCCUUUUCCUGCGACGCCACUACUCCUCCUAGUGCUCAUAGUUGUCUCUUGAUCAAGUAGCACUCAGAAAGAGAGGAUAGAAGCUAUCAAUUUGUACAUACUGAGAUAUGACUUCUAAUUCACAUUUUGUGGAUCAAUGUAAUAAUUGAAGAACAGUAAGGGACUUAUAUCUUCUUGGGGGCAACAAACACGAUCAACUUACGGUACUGUACUUUAUUUUGAGGUCAUGGAAUUUUUAGUUGUUUGGUACAUUACACACUAUGGAUAGCUGGCACAUAGACAGGUAGUUAUACAUGUACAUGCAACCUUAUGGCCUCACAAGCAGGUAAGGGCUUGCGAUUUUGCAGAGAACAGAGUGAAUUUAUAACACAAUGCUUUACACUGAGACUGGCUGACACUAGUGGAAGAUGAUUGUUGAGCUUGUGAGUGUAGGAGUGCAUUAUUGUCUUUUUAUAUUUUGCUGAGUAAUGUAUUCUUGUCAUCAUGUGUAUGUUUCUUAAUAUGUUAAUAUCUCAGGCCAAUGGUUGUUGUGUCCUGCCAAAUCAGUUAACCACUAUGUCGAACCUAGGAUAACUCGGCAGGAAAAAAAAGAAGUUUUCGUUGCUGCUAUUAUCAGUGAAAUAGUCUCUUCUUAACAUUGUCAAAAAGUAACUAAUAGUAAACCUUAAUACAUCUCUAUUAAUAUUGGCAUUCAAGGCAAUUCUGCUUGAUUUGACUUUGAGAAGACUUCAUUCUAU